rnacentral:rRNA from 1 species
UACGGAGGGGGCGAGCGUUAUUCGGAAUUAUUGGGCGUAAAGGGCGCGUAGGCGGCUGUACAAGUCAAAGGUGAAAUCCCUCGGCUCAACUGAGGAACUGCCUUUGAAACUGUACGGCUUGAGGCCGGGAGGGGGUAGCGGAAUUCCCAAUGUAGCGGUGAAAUGCGUAGAUAUUGGGAGGAACACCAGUGGCGAAGGCGGCUACCUGGACCGGUUCUGACGCUGAGGCGCGAAAGCGUGGGUAGCAAACAGG